UGGCAGGGAAKUUCCAGAGAUGGAUUYGUGCUCGAAAGAGAACCUGCACACAGGUGCUGCAUGGCUGUCGUCAGCUCGUGUCGUGAGAUGUUGGGUUAAGUCCCGCAACGAGCGCAACCCUUGCCAUUAGUUGCUACGAAAGGGCACUCUAAUGGGACUGCCGGUGACAAACCGGAGGAAGGUGGGGGUGACGUCAAGUCCUCAUGGCCCUUAUAGGUGGGGCUACACACGUCAUACAAUGGCUGGUACAGAGGGUUGCCAACCCGCGAGGGGGAGCUAAUCCCAUAAAGCCGGUCGUAGUCCGGAUCGCAGUCUGCAACUCGACUGCGUGAAGUCGGAAUCGCUAGUAAUCGUGGAUCAGCAUGUCACGGUGAAUACGUUCCCGGGUCUUGUACACACCGCCCGUCACACCAUGGGAGCGGGUCUCGCCAGAAGUAGUUAGCCUAACCGCAAGGAGGGCGAUUACCACGGCGGGUUUCG
rnacentral:rRNA from 1 species